UACAGAGGUCUCAAGCGUUGUUCGGAUUCAUUGGGCGUAAAGGGUGCGUAGGUGGCGGGGUAAGUCAGGUGUGAAAUCUCGGGGCUCAACCCCGAAACUGCACUUGAUACUGCCUUGCUUGAGUACUGGAGAGGAGGUUGGAAUUUACGGUGUAGCAGUGAAAUGCGUAGAUAUCGUAAGGAAGACCAGUGGCGAAGGCGAAUCUCUGGACAGUUACUGACACUGAGGCACGAAGGCCAGGGGAGCAAACGGG
rnacentral:rRNA from 1 species